UACGAAGGGGGCUAGCGUUGUUCGGAAUUACUGGGCGUAAAGGGCGCGUAGGCGGCCCAUCAAGUCAGACGUGAAAGCCCCGGGCUUAACCUGGGAAUGGCGUUUGAUACUGGUGGGCUAGAGGACGGGAGAGGAAAGCAGAAUUCCUAGUGUAGAGGUGAAAUUCGUAGAUAUUAGGAAGAAUACCGGAGGCGAAGGCGGCUUUCUGGACCGUAACUGACGCUGAGGCGCGAAAGCGUGGGGAGCAAACAGG
rnacentral:rRNA from 1 species